rnacentral:rRNA from 1 species
UACGUAGGUGGCUAGCGUUACUCGGAAUCACUGGGCAUAAAGGGCGUGUAGGCGGACAUAUAAGUCGGGUGUAAAAUCCCUCGGCUCAACCGAGGAAGGCCAUCCGAUACUGUAUGUCUUGAGUGCGGGAGGGGAGAAUGGAACUCUUGGUGGAGCGGUGAAAUGCGUAGAUAUCAAGAGGAACGCCGGUGGCGAAAGCGGUUCUCUGGCCCGCAACUGACGCUGAGGCGCGAAAGCUAGGGGAGCAAACGGG